GUGUCAGCUUCAGUACUCCUGUCUUCUCAGUCUCUAACCUUCACCACAGCUCAGAUGCAGCACACAGAGGUCACACAGGCAAGGGCAGUAGCCACGAGCUGCACUUGGACACAGGAAAAGAAAAGCAACUGAUGCACCCUGGGAGGAAGAAGUCCAACUCUGCCUUAACACAGAUCCUCAGCUAUCUAAGGCUUCACAGCAUCGCCACGCACAACAAAAGAUUAGAGGCCAUGAAGAUCAAGCACCUUUACUGUCUUGCUUUCCUCAAAGAACUAUUAUUGUCACAAAACUACCAAGACUGUGAAGAGGGAAAGUGCUAGCCUGGAAUACAAAUCUUAAGGAUAGAAACAUUGUUUUUAUGUCAGGCAAUACUGUCUCACCGUACACUGCGGCUGGCCUAGUCCUCACUGCAGAGCACAUCGGCCUUGAACUCAUAGAAAUCUCCAAGCUUAAGCUUCCUGGUUGCCUAAAUUGCAGUCAUGUUCCACAGUACCCAACAUGAUUUUGACUUUUUAAAAUUUAGGAUACAUCAUCCACUCAACCUUAAUUUUUAUUUUCAUUCUUUUGUCUUUUUCCUUUUUUUAUUUAACAAAUGGCAUUAAAUGUGAGCAUCAGAUUUCUAUAGAUGCUGCUUCAUGCCAUUUGGGUCAUUUUCCUUGCUGCCUUGUCAUUUCCUUGCAUCCAUCCCAGUACUUUAGAUCCUUUCCCUUUCAAUCCAUGAUACUACCCUACUUCACAAUAAAGGAUAAAUGCAUGUCC
rnacentral:lncRNA from 1 species